AUUGAACGCUGGCGGCAGGCCUAACACAUGCAAGUCGAACGAGUGGCGGACGGGUGAGUAAUGUCUGGGAAACUGCCCGAUGGAGGGGGAUAACUACUGGAAACGGUAGCUAAUACCGCAUACCAUCGGAUGUGCCCAGAUGGGAUUAGCUUGUAGGUGAGGUAACGGCUCACCUAGGCGACGAUCCCUAGCUGGGCUGAGAGGAUGACCAGCCACACUGGAACUGAGACACGGUCCAGACGCAUACGGGAGGCAGCGGUGGGGAGUAUUGCACAAUGGGCGCAAGCAUGAGACAGCAAUGCGGCGUGUAUGAAGAAGGCCUUCGUGUGGUAAAGUACUUUCAGAGGGGAGUCGGUACCCGCAGAAGAAGCACCGGCUAACUCCGUGCCAGAAGCCGCGUGAAUAC
rnacentral:rRNA from 1 species